CAGUAGCCGCGGUAAUACAGAGGGUGCGAGCGUUAAUCGGAAUUACUGGGCGUAAAGCGUGCGCAGGCGGUUAUAUAAGACAGAUGUGAAAUCCCCGGGCUCAACCUGGGAACUGCAUUUGUGACUGUAUAGCUAGAGUACGGCAGAGGGGGAUGGAAUUCCGCGUGUAGCAGUGAAAUGCGUAGAUAUGCGGAGGAACACCGAUGGCGAAGGCAAUCCCCUGGGCCUGUACUGACGCUCAUGCACGAAAGCGUGGGGAGCAAACAGGAUUAGAUACCCCCGUAGUCCCUGUCUCUUUACA
rnacentral:rRNA from 1 species